rnacentral:rRNA from 1 species
UGGGGAAUAUUGGACAAUGGGCGAAAGCCUGAUCCAGCCAUGCCGCGUGUGUGAAGAAGGUCUUCGGAUUGUAAAGCACUCUAAGUUGGGAGGAAGGGCAGUAAGCGAAUACCUUGCUGUUUUGACGUUACCGACAGAAUAAGCACCGGCUAACUCUGUGCCAGCAGCCGCGGUAAUACAGAGGGUGCAAGCGUUAAUCGGAAUUACUGGGCGUAAAGCGCGCGUAGGUGGUUCGUUAAGUUGAAUGUGAAAGCCCCGGGCUCAACCUGGGAACUGCAUCCAAAACUUGCAAGCUAGAUUAGGGCAGAGGGUGGUGGAAUUUCCUGUGUAGCGGUGAGAGGCGUAGAUAUAGGAAGGAACACCAGGGGCGAAGGCGACCACCUGGGAUCAUACUUACGCUGAAGUGCGAAAGAGUGGGGAGCAAACAGG